CUUGCUCUUAUGGGUGGCGAGUGGCGGACGGGUGAGGAAUACAUCGGAAUCUACCUUUUCGUGGGGGAUAACGUAGGGAAACUUACGCUAAUACCGCAUACGACCUUCGGGUGAAAGCAGGGGACCUUCGGGCCUUGCGCGGAUAGAUGAGCCGAUGUCGGAUUAGCUAGUUGGCGGGGUAAAGGCCCACCAAGGCGACGAUCCGUAGCUGGUCUGAGAGGAUGAUCAGCCACACUGGAACUGAGACACGGUCCAGACUCCUACGGGAGGCAGCAGUGGGGAAUAUUGGACAAUGGGCGCAAGCCUGAUCCAGCCAUACCGCGUGGGUGAAGAAGGCCUUCGGGUUGUAAAGCCCUUUUGUUGGGAAAGAAAAGCAGUCGAUUAAUACUCGGUUGUUCUGACGGUACCCAAAGAAUAAGCACCGGCUAACUUCGUGCCAGCAGCCGCGGUAAUACGAAGGGUGCAAGCGUUACUCGGAAUUACUGGGCGUAAAGCGUGCGUAGGUGGUUGUUUAAGUCUGUUGUGAAAGCCCUGGGCUCAACCUGGGAAUUGCAGUGGAUACUGGGCGACUAGAGUGUGGUAGAGGGUAGUGGAAUUCC
rnacentral:rRNA from 1 species